GAUGAACGCUGGCGGCGUGCCUAAUACAUGCAAGUCGAGCGAAUGGAUUAAGAGCUUGCUCUUAUGAAGUUAGCGGCGGACGGGUGAGCAACACGUGGGUAACCUGCCCAUAAGACUGGGAUAACUCCGGGAAACCGGGGCUAAUACCGGAUAACAUUUUGAACCGCAUGGUUCGAAAUUGAAAGGCGGCUUCGGCUGUCACUUAUGGAUGGACCCGCGUCGCAUUAGCUAGUUGGUGAGGUAACGGCUCACCAAGGAAACGAUGCGUAGCCGACCUGAGAGGGUGAUCGGCCACACUGGGACUGAGACACGGCCCAGACUCCUACGGGAGGCAGCAGUAGGGAAUCUUCCGCAAUGGACGAAAGUCUGACGGAGCAACGCCGCGUGAGUGACGAAGGCUUUCGGGUCGUAAAACUCUGUUGUUAGGGAAGAACAAGUGCUAGUUGAAUAAGCUGGCACCUUGACGGUACCUAACCAGAAAGCCACGGCUAACUACGUGCCAGCCGCCGCAGUAA
rnacentral:rRNA from 1 species